rnacentral:rRNA from 1 species
GAUGAACGCUCGCGGCAGGCCUAACACAUGCAAGUCGAGGGGUAGAAGGAGCUUGCUCCUUUGAGACCGGCGCACGGGUGCGUAACGCGUAUGCAAUCUACCUUGUACAGGGGAAUAGCCCAGAGAAAUUUGGAUUAAUGCCCCAUAGUAUAUAACCUUCGCAUGUUGGUUAUAUUAAAGUUCCAACGGUACAAGAUGAGCAUGCGUCCCAUUAGUUAGUUGGUAAGGUAACGGCUUACCAAGACGAUGAUGGGUAGGGGUCCUGAGAGGGAGAUCCCCCACACUGGUACUGAGACACGGACCAGACUCCUACGGGAGGCAGCAGUGAGGAAUAUUGGUCAAUGGUCGCAAGACUGAACCAGCCAUGCCGCGUGCAGGAAGACGGUCCUAUGGAUGGUAAACUGCUUUUAGACAGGAAGAAACCCUCCCACGUGUGGGAGCUUGACGGUACUGUAGGAAUAAGGAUCGGCUAACUCCGUG